AUUUUGAAAAGUGGCCGGAUUCUCUCUGUUACAUCCGUCUCACUUGACGCAUGUCCAUUGUGCGUGUGCUAACUUUAUCUCAUGCCGCACAGAUAGACUACUACUGUAUUUUUACCAUUUUUCUUUCACCUCAUAUUUGGUGUCAAAUGCUGAUACUAUGUGGGAAGGCAUAAAGGAGGAACUCCAGCCAGACACACAAACAGCAGAGGGCGCCGGAGAGACGGGGAGCGAGAGAGAGCGAGCGAGAGAGAAAGAGAGAGAGAGAGUGGAGCAAACCUGAUUGGCUGAGGCGGUUGCAAAGGGAACACUUGUGGCAGAUGUCGUGGCUGCAGACACAGUGGCCGGAGAAGCACCGUGCAUCAUGGGUACUUUGGAGGGAAAGAUCACACAGGCGUUUCAACCACAGCCUCAUUUGCAGCAUCCUUUCUAUGCCUGCCCAUACCAGAGCUCUGAAACAUGACUGCAUGACUCCUUCCAUCAGGAUUCUUACACUUAAUCCACAGGAAACAUCAUCAUCAUCAUCACCUGACGGGAUGAAGGCAGCCUGCUGCUGGAACUGCAUAUUGGCCAGAGCCUGUUGAUACUGGAAUACGCCGGCGUUGAACAUGGUGGUGGCACCGUUGGCUUUUUCAAGUGCAGGUCUCUUUGGUAAAGGGGGCAGGACAGGAGGGAGCCCCUGAUGAGGGCGACCACGAGGGACGACGCGGGACAUUCAGGAGAAGAGAGAGGAAAGAUAAAAGUGAGUACUGGAGAAAGACGGGAGAGCAAACACUAUGAAUCAGAUGAUGGAUCUUAUGAUGGGCAUAACAAUCUGGUACAAAUGUUGAAUAUGCCGUGCAAGACUACGCUAUUGUUAGACAUAAAACAUACAUUCCACAUGCAUUGCAGGCUCGCCUGAGGUGAUGAAAUGACAAUUUUAAAUAUUUUUAAAACAUCAUUUACUUAUUUUCAACAAUAACAAGCUUGUUUUCUGUACUAUACAAACCCAGUAUUUCCUCUUUGUUUACUCAACUGCAGAAAGUACCAAUCAUCUAUUAGAGAUAAGGCUUUUGUUAAGGUGGAGGUCUUCAGUUGUGCAUAUACAUUUUUAUAAACAUAUUACAUUAUAUCAGGGGUGUCCAAAGUGUCCCCGGGGAAAAUUAUUUAAAAAAUGGAAGUCAUUUUACAAGAAUUAAGAGAAAAUAUUAAGAGAAAAAAGGUUUUAAUCUAAGGAAAAAAGUUGUAAUUUUAUGAGAAUAAUGUUGUAAUACUACAAGAAAAAAAUAAUGUCAUUUUAGCAGCAUAAAGUGAAGUGAAUUG